rnacentral:rRNA from 1 species
UGGAUCCAGACUUUGAUUCUGGCUCAGGACGAACGCUGGCGGCGCGCCUAACACAUGCAAGUCGAACGGAGAAAGAUACAGCUUGCUGGAUUUUUCUUAGUGGCGGACGGGUGAGUAACACGUGGGCAACCUGCCCUUCAGAGCGGGAUAACGUUUGGAAACGAACGCUAAUACCGCAUGACAUCCCGGGAUGGCAUCGUUCUGGGAUCAAAGAUUUAUCGCUGAAGGAUGGGCUCGCGUCCGAUUAGGUAGUUGGUGAGAUAACAGCCCACCAAGCCGACGAUCGGUAGCCGGACUGAGAGGUUGAUCGGCCACAUUGGGACUGAGACACGGCCCAGACUCCUACGGGAGGCAGCAGUGGGGGAUAUUGCACAAUGGGGGGAACCCUGAUGCAGCGACGCCGCGUGAGGGAAGACGGUUUUCGGAUUGUAAACCUCUGUCUUUGGGGACGAAUAGAUGACGGUACCCAAGGAGGAAGCCACGGCUAACUACGUGCCAGCAGCCGCGGUAAUACGUAGGUGGCAAGCGUUGUCCGGAAUUACUGGGUGUAAAGGGAGCGUAGGCGGGUCUACAAGUUGAUUGUAUAAACGAUCGGCUCAACUGGUCGUGGCGAUCAAAACUGUAGAUCUUGAGUGGAGUAGAGGCAGGCGGAAUUCCUAGUGUAGCGGUGAAAUGCGUAGAUAUUAGGAGGAACACCAGUGGCGAAGGCGGCCUGCUGGGCUCUAACUGACGCUGAGGCUCGAAAGCGUGGGUAGCAAACAGGAUUAGAUACCCUGGUAGUCCACGCCGUAAACGAUGAUUACUAGGUGUGGGUGGACUGACCCCAUCCGUGCCGGAGUUAACACAAUAAGUAAUCCACCUGGGGAGUACGACCGCAAGGUUGCAACUCAAAUGAAUUGACGGA